rnacentral:rRNA from 1 species
UACGGGGGGGGCAAGCGUUGUUCGGAAUUACUGGGCGUAAAGGGCUCGUAGGCGGCCAACUAAGUCAGACGUGAAAUCCCUCGGCUUAACCGGGGAACUGCGUCUGAUACUGGAUGGCUUGAGUUUGGGAGAGGGAUGCGGAAUUCCAGGUGUAGCGGUGAAAGUGCGUAGAUAUCUGGAGGAACACCGGUGGCGAAGGCGGCAUCCUGGACCAACACUGACGCUGAGUGAGCGAAAGCCAGGGGAGCAAACAGG